rnacentral:lncRNA from 1 species
AUGAAAUUAAACUUUAACUCAGGAUUUGAACCCAGAGCUCUCGGGUCUGGACCUGACACUCAGACCGCUGGGCCACAGGCUCCUCCGUGUCCCUGUCUCCGUGUCUCUGUGUCUCUGGUUUGUUUUCUUCAGCUGAAUCCAGUGAAACUAAACUGUCUCCAGCACAAGAGUGAGGCUUGAAGCCACAUCUAGCUCUGAUGUUCAGACCACCGUCUCUUCUUUUGGAGCUGUGUCUUGUUCGGUCAGAAACACUGAAAACUCAUUUAAACCAAGAGUGAGGUUUGAACCAGCGGCGUCCGUGUUAAGAACCAGUGUUUAAACCACUGCGCUCGUCUUAUUCCUUCAGAAACACUGGGAGCACUGAACACUGGCUGUGUGUCUGGAGGAGUGUGUCAGUCCUGUAAAGAGCUGACGCUCAGUUUGCUGCUGUUUGAACUCUGAGAGGCUUUCUUGACCUUCUUAUAUCUGAGUUCCUGACGCACCAGAUCACACGGAUAUGAAAACAGCUAAGAAGUGCAUAGGUCUUUCAGACAACAUUUAUGAUCAUCUCACUUUUAUUUAAAGCAGUUUAGGACAUGGUGAUGAGUCCUCAGAGAUAAAAUAGCUGUUUAUUUAUUUAAUAUUGAGCAUAUAAUGAACAUUUUUCAGCAGACACUGAAGCUCUGAAUGAAAUGAACAAUUCAUUGAGGAAAAAAAAAGGUUUUUAUUUGAUCACUCAGAAUAAAACUAGCAGCAGGUAGAUCUGAAUUCAUGUGAACUAAAACUACAGCCGUUAUAAACACCAGCAGGUUCUCAAAGACUAUUAUCUUUGAUGCACAAUCAGACAGAAUAAAAGAGAACAGUUUCAUCAGGAGAGGCAGCUUCAUGUCUGAAAUGACAAACGAGUCACAGCUUUAAUCUUCGUGAGAUUGAAAACUGCUGCACAUACAGUACACCUGAGCUCCAGCAAAUCCUCCUGAAAAAAAAUAAAGAAAUCAUAUUUUAUUUAAAACAGUGAGUCAGAGGAUCUGUAUUAAUUACACUGAUGUUAAUUAUUUCUACUUCUUUUAUUCUAGUCGGAGGAAAACCAUAUUUUGCAUUGAUUUAAUAUUUAAUAAAUGAUUAAUCUUCAUGUGAAGUGGGAAAACAUGUCAAAUUACCAUUUUAAUUUACAUAUAGUAAUAUAUUUUGCAUGUGUGGUAGACAUUUAGAAUUCGAGUUUCAUCGCCCUCCUGUGGUGAAUUAUGUGAAUUACAUUAAAGCGAUUUAUUUCUACAGAUUUCACGCGAGACAGAAGAAAACCUUGCAUUUAAUUACUUUGCGUUGAUUUUAUAUUAUUUAACAAAUUAAUCACGACCCUCUGCAACAAUAAAAUAUCUGGAAAACCGCCCUUUUCUUCAGUAGAAAUAUAUUUUUAUAUCUGAGCGCCAUCCUGUGGUGAAAUGUGAGAAUUACACUGCUGCCCCUUUAUACUUUUUUUUUCUGCAUUGAUUCAGAAUUAUUUAAUAAAUUAUUGAUUAUAAUGUGCGGACGAAACAAAAAAAAAAAAAAAAGAAUUACAUAAAUAUUACAUAAUAAAUAUUCAUGUCUAAUAGAAUUACACUGCUGACUAAUAAUUACUACAUACUUUAAUUCUAGCCAGAGGACAAUAUUAAUGUAUUCAGUAUUUUGCAUUGAUUAAUAUUAAACAAAUUAUUAAUUUUCACGUGAAGCAGAAAAACUUCUGUUAAAUUAUCCUUGUAAUUGGCUAUAAAUAUAUAUAACAUCUGAACAUUUAGAAUUCGCGUUUGUGUGAAUAUAAUUAUUUGUUAUUAAUAGUCCAAGGAUUUUAGAUUUUAAAAAUCAAAGUUCCGAAUGCUUUAACUUUUACAAAAUGUAAUUUAAAAAUCUUAAUGGAUUCAUUUUAAUUUAUUAUUUCAGGGUAAAAUGACCUCGAUAUGAGAUUCGCGCUAAUAUAAUAUUCUGAUAUCAAUAAUAAUAAUUUGUAUUAAAUAUGAUUUGUACGAGUUUGUAAUAGAAGUCACCUGCCACAAGAGGGCGCAGCAGAAUAGCGCUAAGAGCAGAUUUACACCAAGUGUCUAAUCUCACACUUCAGGUCGUUUUAUUCAUUCUAAGAGCAGCUUAUUAUUCAAUUAUGUGUUUAGGAGGAACCGCGUGCGUGUGCUCGUCAUCGUGAUCGCGCCGUGCGUAAGAGGAGCCGCGC